CAGCAGCCGCGGUAAUACGUAGGUGGCAAGCGUUGUCCGGAAUUAUUGGGCGUAAAGCGCGCGCAGGUGGUUUAAUAAGUCUGAUGUGAAAGCCCACGGCUCAACCGUGGAGGGUCAUUGGAAACUGUUAAACUUGAGUGCAGGAGAGAAAAGUGGAAUUCCUAGUGUAGCGGUGAAAUGCGUAGAGAUUAGGAGGAACACCAGUGGCGAAGGCGGCUUUUUGGCCUGUAACUGACACUGAGGCGCGAAAGCGUGGGGAGCAAACAGGAUUAGAUACCCGCGUAGUCCCUGUCUCUUAUAC
rnacentral:rRNA from 1 species